rnacentral:tRNA from 1 species
GGCCAGUUAGCUCAGUGGUAGAGCGCUGCAUUCACAUUGCAGAUGUCAGGGGUUCAAGUCCCUUACUGGCCA